GCCUCUGUCGACUAGAGUACGCAAGUCGCUCCAUCCUCGUUCUUGAAGAGCGUCCAUAAGAUUAUCAUGGAGAGACGGGGGUUCGAGUCCUUCCAGAGGCA